UUCAGAGCUUGUAGAAGGAAUUAGAAGGCACAAGUGGGUAGUGAGAGUCUGUUCAAAUAAUUGAGCACAUCCAUAGGCACAGAUAGGUUAAUUUGGGUGGAUUUGGCAAAUGUUAUUCCAACCAUUUGUGACUUUCUGCUGUGACUUCAAUUGCCAUGAAGAUGCCAGCCUAGGUGUUCAAUCUUCUGGUAAAAGUCAGUGGAAAGAGUCCUAGCAUCCAGUUACCAUGCUGCCACGAGUCAGUCAGUCCAUAUCCCUAAACAGCACCCGAUCAAUACACUGCAAAGUCCAAGCCAAGCAGACAAUCAUUCUCUGUCUCCUUUAACAUUGCCUUUGUUGGUUGAAGAAUGUCACCACCAUUGUUUUUCCUGUCUAGCAUCUCACCUGACAGCGCAUGGCAUCCUUUGUCCCAUCUUUUAAGCAGGAUCCCUAUAGUCCUUCCUUGGUCAUUCUAUUAUAGUUUAUGAUUAAGAGGACUCCAGGGCAGAGCUGCAUUGCGGCUUUGCACAAGGGUAAGAAUGAAGCAAAAUGUGUUAAUAACAUAAUGUAAAUAAAAUGUGUUCAUUAACAAAUUAUUAACAGUUUGUUAAAAGUGUAUGUUAAUACUAACUCUUGACAACACACUGCUUUUUUAACCCAUUCUAAAAUUCAAGUAAGCUUGCUUGCCUUUUUUAAAAUAUACAAAUAUUUUAUUUGAGGCAGAAUGAGGACUAAAUCUACACUAGGGAUAGUUUUAGGGAAGCCCAGUUGAUAUGUUCACAACUGACUUUAAUAUUGUGACAUAUUUUGUAUAUGUAUAUUAAUAUGUAAUUUAAUGAAAUUCAUAUUAGUCCCUGUGGUAAAUACAUUCCAAACUAUUUGUGUAAAUAACAUUAAAGUAGAGAGUUACAUAC
rnacentral:lncRNA from 1 species